GAGUUUGAUCAUGGCUCAGAUUGAACGCUGGCGGCAGGCCUAACACAUGCAAGUCGAGCGGUAACACAGAGAGCUUGCUCUCGGGUGACGAGCGGCGGACGGGUGAGUAAUGUCUGGGAAACUGCCUGAUGGAGGGGGAUAACUACUGGAAACGGUAGCUAAUACCGCAUAACGUCGCAAGACCAAAGUGGGGGACCUUCGGGCCUCAUGCCAUCAGAUGUGCCCAGAUGGGAUUAGCUAGUAGGUGGGGUAAUGGCUCACCUAGGCGACGAUCCCUAGCUGGUCUGAGAGGAUGACCAGCCACACUGGAACUGAGACACGGUCCAGACUCCUACGGGAGGCAGCAGUGGGGAAUAUUGCACAAUGGGCGCAAGCCUGAUGCAGCCAUGCCGCGUGUAUGAAGAAGGCCUUCGGGUUGUAAAGUACUUUCAGCGAGGAGGAAGGCAUUAAGGUUAAUAACCUUGGUGAUUGACGUUACUCGCAGAAGAAGCACCGGCUAACUCCGUGCCAGCAGCCGCGGUAAUACGGAGGGUGCAAGCGUUAAUCGGAAUUACUGGGCGUAAAGCGCACGCAGGCGGUCUGUCAAGUCGGAUGUGAAAUCCCCGGGCUCAACCUGGGAACUGCAUUCGAAACUGGCAGGCUAGAGUCUUGUAGAGGGGGGUAGAAUUCCAGGUGUAGCGGUGAAAUGCGUAGAGAUCUGGAGGAAUACCGGUGGCGAAGGCGGCCCCCUGGACAAAGACUGACGCUCAGGUGCGAAAGCGUGGGGAGCAAACAGGAUUAGAUACCCUGGUAGUCCACGCCGUAAACGAUGUCGACUUGGAGGUUGUGCCCUUGAGGUGUGGCUUCCGGAGCUAACGCGUUAAGUCGACCGCCUGGGGAGUACGGCCGCAAGGUUAAAACUCAAAUGAAUUGACGGGGGCCCGCACAAGCGGUGGAGCAUGUGGUUUAAUUCGAUGCAACGCGAAGAACCUUACCUACUCUUGACAUCCAGAGAACUUAGCAGAGAUGCUUUGGUGCCUUCGGGAACUCUGAGACAGGUGCUGCAUGGCUGUCGUCAGCUCGUGUUGUGAAAUGUUGGGUUAAGUCCCGCAACGAGCGCAACCCUUAUCCUUUGUUGCCAGCGGUCCGGCCGGGAACUCAAAGGAGACUGCCAGUGAUAAACUGGAGGAAGGUGGGGAUGACGUCAAGUCAUCAUGGCCCUUACGAGUAGGGCUACACACGUGCUACAAUGGCAUAUACAAAGAGAAGCGACCUCGCGAGAGCAAGCGGACCUCAUAAAGUAUGUCGUAGUCCGGAUUGGAGUCUGCAACUCGACUCCAUGAAGUCGGAAUCGCUAGUAAUCGUAGAUCAGAAUGCUACGGUGAAUACGUUCCCGGGCCUUGUACACACCGCCCGUCACACCAUGGGAGUGGGUUGCAAAAGAAGUAGGUAGCUUAACCUUCGGGAGGGCGCUUACCACUUUGUGAUUCAUGACUGGGGUGAAGUCGUAACAAGGUAACCGUAGGGGAACCUGCGGUUGGAUCACC
rnacentral:rRNA from 1 species